rnacentral:rRNA from 1 species
ACUGGUACUGAGACACGGACCAGACUCCUACGGGAGGCAGCAGUGAGGAAUAUUGGUCAAUGGUCGGGAGACUGAACCAGCCAAGCCGCGUGAGGGAUGAAGGUACAGAGUAUCGUAAACCUCUUUUGUCAGGGAACAAAGGCGGGGACGUGUCCCCGGAUGAGUGUACCUGAAGAAAAAGCAUCGGCUAACUCCGUGCCAGCAGCCGCGGUAAUACGGAGGAUGCGAGCGUUAUCCGGAUUUAUUGGGUUUAAAGGGUGCGCAGGCGGUCUGUUAAGUCAGCGGUCAAAGCCCGGGGCUCAACCCCGGCCCGCCGUUGAAACUGGCAGUCUCGAGUUGGAGAGAAGUAUGCGGAAUGCGCGGUGUAGCGGUGAAAUGCAUAGAUAUCGCGCAGAACUCCGAUUGCGAAGGCAGCAUGCCGGCUCCACACUGACGCUGAGGCACGAAAGCGUGGGUAUCGAACAGGAUUAGAUACCCUGGUAGUCCACGCAGUAAACGAUGAAUGCUGGCUGUCCGGGGGGGAUUGACCCCUGG